CAAAUGAGAUGAACCAAAGACCAAUCCAACAAGUUGAGCUGCAGCAUUAACAUUUUGGGAUAAAUUUUCUCCGAUUCAACCCAUUUGCUUUUUGAGCACAGCCCAAUGUCAGUCGACAGUCACCGUUUGGUCCAUUUUCCUUCUUUUUUCCCUUCCCCCUCCCUUCCCUCGCUGUCACAGUGUCACUCGCUACAACAACGGACUCUACGAACCCUCCUUAAACCCUGAUGUCCCUCACCCGGCUCUCCCGCCAAAAACCACCCCAAUUCUCACUCCGCCUCAGGCCCCUCACGCGCCUCCUCUCCUCCUCCACGACCUCCUCCUCCUCCUUUUCAAAACUCCACCAGCACUACUCCUUCAAAGCCCCACCCUCCCUCUCCCCAACCCCCCAAAACCCUGUCCCUAAGCCCAAGAAAAAGGAGAAACCCCAGUACCGCCCGCCUUCGUCCCUCGAUCGGACCGGCCAAAAGACUAUACGCUCCGAGUUGCCCUUCGAUUUCCGGUACAGUUACACUGAGAGCAGCCCGACUGUGAGGCCCAUUGGGCUCCGAGAGCCCAAGUACUCGCCUUUUGGGCCAGGCCGCCUCGACCGCGAAUGGACCGGGGUGUGUGCCCCGGCCGUGGACCCCAAGGCGAGGUCCGUGGAGGGAGCGGAGGACCCGAAGCUGGAGGAGAAGAGGAGGAUGAUGAGGGAGAGAGUUCAGGGGCACCCUCUCUCUGAGGCCGAGAGGAAGAUUCUGGUGGACAAGUGUCUGAGGCACAAAACCAAGAGGCAAAUCAAUCUGGGGAGAGAUGGUUUAACCCACAACAUGCUGAAUGAUAUCCAUAAUCAUUGGAAGCAUGCCGAAGCAGUGAGGAUAAAAAGUUUAGGUGUUCCCACUGUGGACAUGAAAAAUGUGUGCACUCAGCUUGAGAAAUUACAAAUACAAGUUCCACGUUUGAUUCAGGAUAAAACAUUUGGAAAGAUCAUCCACAGACAUGGUGGUCUGCUUGUAUUAUAUAGAGGCAGGAACUAUCAUCCCAAGAAAAGGCCUGUGAUUCCAUUAAUGCUGUGGAGACCCCACGAGCCCGUAUAUCCCAGGCUAAUCAAGACUACGAUUGAUGGGUUGAGCAUUGAGGAAACCAAGGAAAUGAGAAAGAGAGGACUAGCUGUUCCCGCUUUAACAAAACUCGCCAAGAAUGGGUAUUAUGGUAGUCUGGUACCCAUGGUCAGAGAUGCUUUCCUCUGCUGUGAGCUGGUACGGAUAGACUGUCAGGGUCUUGAGAGGAGUGAUUACAAGAAAAUAGGCUGCAAACUCAGGGAUAUGGUGCCUUGCAUCCUGGUGACAUUUGACAAGGAGCAGAUUGUGGUUUGGAGGGGGAAGGACUACAAGCCUGUAGAAGAUGGAUACUUUCUUCCAGAUCGUGAGUCAUUUGAUGAUCCAGAUGGUAAUUUGCUUAGUAGGGCUGAGGGACGUUACAGCUUGGAUGGCACCAACAGCGAACAGGGCUUCUACUCUGGGGAUGAUGACUAGUUCCUUUAACGCUUCAAAUUGUGCUUGCGUUCACCAUUUUUCGAAGGUUGAGUACAAGGAAAGCGAUGAGUAAUUGCAGGGAUCACACCAAAAAGGGUUUUAGCCUUUUCAUGCGUACUACUUUUUGGUGCUCUUCUCCUUAUUAGGAUCCUCUCAUUAUUUGCCUUAGUUUGAGAGGUAAUUGUGAGAUAUUACUUAUAAGACUUAUCUGACCAAAUAAAAAUUAGGUUGUCCAACUACUUAUCUGGUUAGAUGAGUCUCAUAAGUGGUCUCUUAUAAUCACCUGUUCAAAUUCAGAUAAAUAAUUUGAGAGGAUUUGAUCUGCUCUUCCCCAUAUUAUUAUUAUUAUUUUUUUAUCUACCAUCACAUUUUCAGGAAAAGAAGCAAAGAAGGAUGAGAACAGAGAAUGUGUAGGGCAUCAAAUAUCUGAAAAGGAAGACUGAUUUAAAAGGGGAAGUGAAAGAUUCCGAAGCGCAA